GGAUAUAGCCAAGCGGUAAGGCAACGGACUUUGACUCCGUCACUCGUGGGUUCAAAUCCCGCUAUC
rnacentral:tRNA from 2 species